rnacentral:rRNA from 1 species
UACGGAGGGUGCAAGCGUUAAUCGGAAUUACUGGGCGUAAAGCGUGCGCAGGCGGUUUGUUAAGUCCGUUGUGAAAGCCCCGAGCUCAACUUGGGAAUUGCAGUGGAUACUGGCAGGCUGGAGUACGGUAGAGGAAGGUGGAAUUCCCGGUGUAGCAGUGAAAUGCGUAGAUAUCGUGAGGAACACCAGAGGCGAAGGCGGUUACCUGGACAGUUACUGACGCUCAGGCACGAAAGCGUGGGGAGCAAAAGGG